GAGGAGAGGAGAAAGCUAGCAGCUGUGCUGUGCAAAAGAGAAGAAAUGUGAGAGAGAGUUUCUUUCCAUCUUUUGUACUCCUGUAAACUCUUUGAUUAUAUAUCGAACAUUAUCUGUACGAUCGUGGAUGUAAGAGUAAAAGACUCUGAACUACAUAAAUUUCUGUGUGUUUUUGUGUGUGUGCGAUUUGCUGUUCCUUUUUUUUU
rnacentral:lncRNA from 1 species